CAUCUAGUACUCGGUGGCGCGCACCUUUGGCUUCUGCCGCUGCGCUCGGGAGUACCCCGGCGGGUGUCUCUGGAUUCUUUGCGUCCCGUUCCUUCUUUCCAGCUUCCCGAUUCCUGAUUUGACUGUGCCGGAGCGAGGGGCUGCCCGGGACUCCGGCGAGGUGGCCGCAGGCUGAGAUAGAAUUGAAGCUAGAUAGCUCUGUGCCUAAAAUGAUGAUAUCCUUUACCCUGCAGUAUGUUUAAGAAGCAUUUUACUUUUACAGCUAUG